GAAAUGCGAUAAGUAAUGUGAAUUGCAGAAUUCAGUGAAUCAUCGAAUCUUUGAACGCACAUUGCGCCCGCCAGUAUUCUGGCGGGCAUGCCUGUUCGAGCGUCAUUACAACCCUCAGGCCCCCGGGCCUGGCGUUGGGGAUCGGCGGAAGCCCCCUGCGGCCACAACGCCGUCCCCCAAAUACAGUGGCGGUCCCGCCGCAGCUUCCAUUGCGUAGUAGCUAACACCUCGCAACUGGAGAGCGGCGCGGCCACGCCGUAAAACACCCAACUUCUGAAUGUUGACCUCGAAUCAGGUAGGAAUACCCGCUGAACUUAAGC
rnacentral:misc_RNA from 1 species